rnacentral:rRNA from 1 species
UACGAGGGGGGCGAGCGUUGUUCGGAAUUAUUGGGCGUAAAGGGCGCGUAGGCGGUUGGAUAAGUCUUGUGUGAAAUCUUCGGGCUCAACUCUGGGCGUGCGGUCGAUACGGGCAUCACUUGAGUUCGGCAGGGGAGACUGGAAUUCCUGGUGUAGCGGUGAAAUGCGCAGAUAUCAGGAGGAACACCGGUGGCGAAGGCGGGUCUCUGGGCCGAUACUGACGCUGAGGAGCGAAAGCAUGGGUAGCGAACAGG